rnacentral:lncRNA from 1 species
AUGGGCUGCAAGGAAGCUUGGGAUUUCAUUACUGCAACUUCCCUCAGCCGAGAGUUCUUGGUAAGCGUUUUCCCCUUUCCCUUUUCUGCAUUUUGUUCUUUUCUUUUGCUUCAUGAAUCUUUGUUGCUUUUGUGUGACCAUAGUUACCUCAAAUGUCUUUUGGAAGAAAGCAGGAUAGGAAACAACAAAAUUGAAGAAAAGAUAAAAUAUGCAAAGCAAUGAAGUUUUGGGACAUGGGAGAGAGGAGUGAUUUUACCAGCAGCCUAGUCUUAAAAAAACAAAAAUAAAGGGGCGCCUGGGUGGCUCA